rnacentral:rRNA from 1 species
UAGUAUCAGCGUGUCAGCAGCCGCGGUAAUACGAAGGGGGCUAGCGUUGUUCGGAAUUACUGGGCGUAAAGCGCGCGUAGGUGGGUUCGUUAAGUUUGGAUGUGAAAAUCCCCCGGGGCGUCAACCCUGGGGAACUGCAUUCAAAACUGUCGAGCUAGAGUAUGGUAGAGGGGUGGUGGAAUUCCUGUGUAGCGGUGAAAUGCGUAGAUAUAGGAAGGAACACCAGUGGCGAAGGCGACCACCUGGACUGAUACUGACACUGAGGUGCGAAAGCGUGGGGAGCAAACAGGAUUAGAUACCCCUGGUAGUCCACGCCGUAAACGAUGUCAACUAGCCGUUGGGAGCCUUGAGCUCUUAGUGG